ACGGUUUACCAUAAUCCUGAAAUAGAAACCAUGUUAUCACUAUCAUCAAAUUCAUCGGGAUAAGUAAGAGAUGGCAAAACCUCGUGGUAAAGAGGUUAAUCCCAACUAAUCCAAUUCAGAUGACGAAUUCUGGAAACAGUAGCUUGAGAAGUUGGUCAUUAAUUUGAGACCGAUGGUGUGGUAUAUUAUUUUUGGUAAGCAAAAGAUGAUGUUGGACAUGAAAUGAAAGUGGAUUGUGAAUUUGAACAGCGUAAGUUCAGGCCUGGUACGUACUGGUUGUAGCUUACAACUUGUGUUGAAAGAAUGAUAGUGCGUAGUAAUGGAUGUGAAGGUGAGCAUUUACUGGUUAUGGGUGUUGAAUAGUGGAUGAACUGGCGGUGGCGUGAACUCGACCAACAAUAUAAACCAUGGGGAGCGGUGGAUAAGAAGGCCUCCUGUUGUAGAAGAGAUGACUAAAGUCCUUGGGGAACUAGACUAUAUGCUGCCUAUUGAGGUUAAUGUCCGAAACAUGCCUGGUUUUUCCUCACGACGGAUUCCGUAAAAUUGGACUGCUUUCACCUACUAAUCCAGUACUGCUAAAUUCAGCAUCCUAGUGUUGAUCUAAGGUUUCCUCAUCUAGAGCAUUAUUUUAAAGCAGUAUCGUAUGUAUUGAAAAUCAUUUAAUAGUUAAAAUCUUAUAUUCAGGGUGCGUAUUUAGCAUCAGGAUGGCAUGACAUGAAACAUAGCAUACUUUUUUUUUCGUAAAUGAAAAGGUAAUUGAA